CAUCACUAAAGAAUUUUGAAAGUGUUAAUAAAAAUAAAUUCCCCGAUGUUAGUUCAAAAGAGGCUAUUAAGCUCGAACAAAAGGUAAGACAAGUUUUGGAGGUUAUUCCAUUUGCUGAUGAAUUAGCCAUAAGGGAUGAUCUUCUUAAGUUCGAUUCAGUAAAUGAUACCAUAGAAAAAUGUUUAUCCGGCUUACUUCCCGCGUUAUCUUCGAAUAUUUCACCCACACCAUCUGGCAUAAAUUGCGAAGAAACACAAAAUUUUAGUAUAAUAAAAAAAAAGGAAGAUCUAAAGAGGUUUUCCCGAGAACGGUAUCUAAAGCGAAAAGGAAUCUCUUUUUAAGUUUUAGAUCCAA